AGUCUGACAGCAGGCUGAACCUGUGCCUGAAGGUAAACCACAGGCCCUCACUGGGCUUCCAUCCCACGACCUCACACCAGAGUGUGGUCUUCAAAGGAGACCCGCAUUCCAUGUGUGCUCCCAAGAGUCCGCAAGCCUGGAAGCUGUGUUCUGCCUGGGCGUGUGGGUGAGCAGCUCUAUGCAAGGGGCCUUUCCCUCACUGUCUUCAUCUUCUACAGAGAUGCGAGUAUCUCCUCCUGAAGGUAUACCAGUGCUCAGAAAGUACCGCUUUUGCCUCGAAACCGCAUUAUGGCACCCAGCCAUGCCAGGGCACACAGGGGCCCGUGUUAGACGAGAUCAAGAAGAAGCUGCGCAGUCAGGUGUACUCGCACGUGGGGGGCUUCGUGCAGGACAUGCGCCUCAUCUUUCAGAACCUCAAGGCAUUUUGCAGCGAUGGAGUGUUCCUGAGUGAACUCGAGGCCAAGUUUGAGAAGAACUUCCAAUGUAUUUUUGCAGUUCAGGAAACCGGGCAGAGCAUGUCUUAGUUGGAGCCCACCGCUUGUCAACAUUUCUUAGCCAUCCCUGACCACCUAUUUGUCUAAACUAAAUUUAGACUUGUCCAAGUGUUCGGAUUGAACCACUUGGAGAGAAAGUUGCUGUGGAAGAAGGGCACCUUUCUCCACAGAGCGUUGGCCUGCUCAUGGCCUCCAUGCAUUCAGAUCCUUCAUCAGAUCCUUCAGCAACGUCGUCUCUUCCCACACAGGACUGACAUUCUUCUUCACCCCGAAGUAUUUUAUGUUUUGGUUGUUACUGUCAACGGUACCUCUCUCCCUGUGCUUUGUUACUGCCGACUGUUACAGAAAGCUCCUGAGAUCUGUGCAUUCACUCACACACAUGCAGGUGUAAGUGCAGAGAUCACUCCCUUACUGAAUGCUGGGCAGUACUGGCGAUUGUUUUCUGUUUUGUUUUGUUUUGUGCCUGGUACCCAAAAGCAUCAGGAAGACUUGGUGGAUACAUGACAUUUCCGUGGAACCGCGAUUGACUCCACUGAUGGAAGCAUUCACUACCUGGGCUCUGAAAGCUCUGACGAGCCUUGGCUCUGCUGGAGGGUGGCUCUGCCUAGAUGGUUAGGGUCAGCCACUCCAGGUGGCUUCCUGAUGCCACCAGAAAGCCCACAGGGAACAUCCGAGACCGUGGAUGCGGUGUAUUCUCUUAGAACAUACUUUUUCUUAUGAGUGAGUGUACAUUCAGUAAUGACAAUAAAAAUAAAGAACAGUGAAACAUAAA